GCUAAAGGGAGAUAAGACAAAGGGUUUGUGCCCAGUUGGACUGGGGCAUUGAAAGCGCAGCCACAGGCUGGGUGCGGUGGGGCAUGCCUGUAAUCCCAGCACAUUGGGAGGCCAAAGCGAGAGGAUUGCUUGAGCCCAGGAGUUUGAGAUCAGCCUGAGCAGCAUAGUAAGAUCCUGUCUCUACUCAAAAAAAAAAAAAAAAAGAAGCCAGGCACGGUAGCACACACCUGUAGUCCCAGCUACUCAGGAGGCUGCCAUGGGAACAUCAUUUGAGGCCCAGAGUUCCAAGCUGCAAUGAGCCAUGAUCGUGUCACUGCACUCCAGCCUGAGCAACAGAGCAAGACCCUGUCCCAGAAAAAGAGGAAAAAAAAGAAUAAAAUAGCAACCUCAGCUACUGGGCCUAAGAAGAAUGUAAUGCAUGCCAAGCAUAGAUUAUCUCAGAAAAUCCACACAAUUAAUCUAUGCAUUGGGGCUUAUUUUCCUCAUUUUGAUAAGGAGACUGGGACUCAGAGAAAAAGUGAUGUGCCCAAAGUCACACAGCUGGUGAGUGUGAUGGCAAGAUUCAAGUGCAGGCUUGGCCUCUUCAGCACUAAGCCAUGCUUCAAUUGUGGCUGGUAUUGGUUAAGGUGAUUGUAGUCACUAGUACUGGACACCAACAGCUGCUGGCUAAAUAAAUAAGAAACAAUCCAGAAGGCAAGGAGAAUGUUUUAUAUUUACUAGACGAUUUCUAGAAGAACUAUCAGAAUGCAAUAAAAAGCUGCACCCCAGGUGAAAAGGAAGCAGGGCAGUGAGGCCUGAGCAGCAGGAUUUGUGGACUUUCCAGGGCACCUGGUGCCAACUUAUGGCUUCAGUGAAUCAAAGUUACAAAACUCCUGGGGAAAAAAAGACUAUUCCAGCUUGAUUUGGUGUACUCCCAAGGUCAGUGAGCUUGGCCAGCAGGUCAUGGGCACGAGCGGAGACAAAGAUUGUCAGGCCUCUGAGCCCAAGCCAAGCCAUCACAUCCCCUGUGACUUGCACGUAUACAUCCAGAUGGCCUGAAGUAACUGAAGAUCCACAAAAGAAGUAAAAAUAGCCUUAACUGAUGACACUCCACCAAUGUGAUUUGUUCCUGCCCCACCCUAACUGAUUAAUGUACUUUGUAAUCUCCCCCACCCUUGAGAAUGUACUGAGAUCCACCCCUGCCUGCACAACAUUGCUCUUAACUUCACCACCUAUCCCAAAACCUAUAAGAACUAAUGAUAAUCCACCACCCUUUGCUAACUCUCUUUUCGGACUCGGCCCACCUGCACCCAGGUGAAAUAAACAG
rnacentral:lncRNA from 1 species